CAGUCGCCACGGUAAAACGAAGGGGGCUAGCGUUGUUCGGAAUCACUGGGCGUAAAGCGCACGUAGGCGGACUUUUAAGUCAGGGGUGAAAUCCCAAGGCUCAACCUUGGAACUGCCUUUGAUACUGGAAGUCUUGAGUUCGGGAGAGGUGAGUGGAACUGCGAGUGUAGAGGUGAAAUUCGUAGAUAUUCGCAAGAACACCAGUGGCGAAGGCGGCUCACUGGCCCGAUACUGACGCUGAGGUGCGAAAGCGUGGGGAGCAAACAGGAUUAGAUACCCGCGUAGUCCCUGUCUCUUAUAC
rnacentral:rRNA from 1 species